GACGAACGCUGGCGGCGUGCCUAACACAUGCAAGUCGAACGGAGAAUUAGCAAUAAUUCUUAGUGGCGAACGGGUGAGUAACGCGUAGACAACCUACCCUUUAGAUGGGGACAACACCGCGAAAGUGGUGCUAAUACCGAAUAUUGCUUGAGAAGCGCAUGCUUUUCAAACUAAAGAUGGCCUCUAGUUAUAAGCUAUCGCUAAAGAAUGGGUCUGCGUCUGAUUAGCUAGUUGGUGAGAUAAAAGCUCACCAAGGCAAAGAUCAGUAGCCGGUCUGAGAGGAUGAACGGCCACACUGGGACUGAGACACGGCCCAGACUCCUACGGGAGGCAGCAGUGGGGAAUCUUCCGCAAUGGACGAAAGUCUGACGGAGCAACGCCGCGUGAGUGAUGAAGGUUUUCGGAUCGUAAAACUCUGUUGUUAAGGACGAAUGUAUAGAUUGUGAAUAAUGGUUUAUAAUGACGGUACUUAACGAGGAAGCCACGGCUAACUACGUGCCAGCAGCCGCCGUAA
rnacentral:rRNA from 1 species